UUCCGUAGAACGCACGGGAGCUGGCCGCGGCGUCGGGUGCCGUCUGUGAAGAGAUGAGCGAUGACUGCUUCAGAGCAUCUAGCUCUGAUGAGGAGUCACCUGGGCUCUCCCCUCUUUCAAACGACGGUGCCUGACCCGCUGUGAUUUCCAGCAUUUGUUAUUUUCAGCACAGAUUCCAGCACCUGCAGUAAUUUGCUUCGACACAGGGUACCUGCUGAUUCGCUAGCGGUGCCGGAUCACUUCACCCAAUAAAAGUAAAAUAACACCACACGUGGACUCAGAAUUUCUCCAGCUGUCUUCAUCUGUACCUGUCUUGAGGAUACUUCUCCAACAUGUUUCCUUCCUUGCCAAUUGUACGAAUGAUUGUAUCGUUGAGUGGUGUCCCAGUUAUGCUAACAUGUUAGCUACAGAUCUGAGGCCAGAGUCUGCCACGUUCCAUUCUGGAAUACAGAAGGUCUCCAGAGCAACAGGGUGCUUUUCCCUUUUCUUAAACAUUUUCCUCGUGUCCCAUCCUUGUUGCCAAAAUGUGUUGGAUCACAGACUGUAUCUAAGCGGUUCUUUUCAGAUUCAGUUAAACGUAGUAAAGAGAAGACUCGACAACAGCAAUUUGCUUAAAUAUGAAUGUUUAAUAAGUACUAAUGAAAGACGAAAAAGAAAGACACAUUUAUUAAGUAAAUAAAAAGAAUGAAAAUAAGCAGAAAGAGAAGAAUAAGCCUCGGCCUUCUGGCCGUUGGGGGGACCCCUUGAUCAACAGCUGGUCUGGAGGCUGAGCUUGUUCCUGGCACCGUUCACGAUUCCAGUCUGAGGCGAAGUCCAGUGACUUGGAAUGAAACUCUCUCUGUUAUACAGUGUAACAAGCAGCAAGGCACAGAAAAACAACUACAGAAAAACAUGUUGGAAUGGUCACAGGACUCAUUUGAGGUCACGCAGCUAUCGAAUAUCAUCAUCAAUUUUAGUCCUUCAUGCCAUUUUAUACAGUGACCUAAGUGAAUUCUUUCUUACACAGAGCAAGAGAAUGGUCUGUCUCCAGUGUGAACUCAUUGAUGUGUUAGCAGGUUGGAUGCCUGAGUGAAUCCCUUCUUACACACAGAGCAGGUGAACAGUUUCCCCCCUGUGCGAACUUGCUGGUGUAUCAGCAGGUGACUUGACUGAGUGAAUGCUUUCCCACAAUCAGAGCAGGCGAAUGGUCUCUCUCCAGUGUGGACACACUCGGGUGUUAGCAAGUUCAAUGACAGAGUGGGUGAAUGGUUUCUCCCCAAUAUGAACUCACUGGUGUAUCAGCAAGUGCAUUGACUGAGUGAAUCUCUUUCCACACUCAAAAAAGGUGAACGGCUUUUGCCCCACUGUGACUGCAUUGAUGAAUUUCCAGCUGGGAUGGGUAAAUAAAUCCUGUCCUGGAAUUCCAACUGUCUCUCCCCAGGGUGAUUGCACUGGUGUUUUGACAUUUUCGAUGAAUCUUGGCAGACUCUUUCACACAGAGACAUAUGUGUUUCUCUGCAGUAUGAAACAUGCUUUUACCUUUCAUAUUCAAAAUCCUGUGAUAAAUGGUAAACAGAGUGACUGUCAAAUCUGGACGUGGUUCUGUUUGAAUUCUCUAAUUGCAAAUCAACCUGCAAAAUAAAAAAAGAAAGCAUUGAGAGGGAAAUCAGAAGAACACACACAGGUUGUGAGAAAUUGCCUUACGUGAUGAUUCAGCAGCAUCAGCACAGCAGUGAGAGUGCACCAUGUGUGGAAUGGCAGCAACCUCCCUGCGGUCAGUGAUGGCAGUGCGAUUUGAGACAGCAUCCUCACAGGCUCCCCUCGGCGAUCAACAUGGUAUCAGCGGUCAGAUCGGGCCGUAGUGGCAGCGGUGGUCGCAGUUCAAUUUCCUCCCGGGCUCCUGUUGGCAUUCAAAGGCAGCGGCAGCAUGACAUUGACUGCGGGCCUUUUGCGCGAUGAUGACAGCCACCUCGGCAGUUCCAGUGAUUGGAUGUGGCAGCAUCAGUGGCAGCAAUGACACAGCUUCUUCCAGCGUUUCGGGGGCUGAGGCAGCAGCAGCAAGGCUUCUCCUGGUGAUUGGAGGCGGUGGUGGCAUCGUCAACAGCAACAAGAACACAGCACCUCCUGGCGAUCGAUGCGAGACUCACAGUCUGAUCUCAGCUCCAGGCUGGGGCUACACCUGGGUCCCUGCAUUGGCGGCAUGUAGAUAAGACUUUAAGAUCUGGAUGUUGUUUUACCUUUUGGCUCUUCUUAAAAUUGUUUUUUUGUUUUUUUAUUAAAUUCUGGUUUUGUAAUCAAGAUGGUGGGGAAGAAUGGCGACUCUGUACAUUUUCCACAUACACAUGUAUUCCUAUACUGAGUACAUGUGACAAUAAAACCUAAUUCUAAUUCUA